ensembl:lncRNA
GCCGAGGGGGUGUGGCUGUGGCGGCGCCCGGCCGGGCUCUGCGCACGGCGCCCGACGGGGCGGGGCACGUGACCUCCCGCCGCCCCGCCCCGCCCUUCUUUACAUAAAGUGCCGCCGGUCAGCUGACCCUCCCGGCGCUUUGCUAUUGGUGGAAAAGGGGCGCGGGGAGGGGUUAAAAGCGCCCCGCCCGCUGUGUGUGUUCGCCACGGGGGCGGGGCUGGCGCCGCGCGCGGUCAGGGUGUGAGUCAUGUGGGGGCAGGCUCGCGCGGGAAGGGCCCGGCCGGCGGUUGGGGAGCGCGCGCGCGCGGCCGUUAGCGCCCCGCCUGCCCUGAGGGGAGCCCCGGGCUGGAGAGGCACGGAGCCACCCGAGCCGGGCAGGAGGGAACCGUGGGGACCGGGGACGGGGGUCUGGGGGUCCUCGGGGCUCUGCCCGCAGCUCCCCGGCGGCUGCUGCUCGCGGUGGUCCCCUCAGGUGUUAGUUCUCGUCAGGGUGGGAGCCGCAGGGCUAGCAGAAAGUUGUUUGUGCGCUCCCGUCUGUAUCGGAGUGCCGCCGCCUCACGGUGUAACGCCCGGCGGGAUGGGGCUGCUGCUCCCGUUGGUGGCAGCGCCGCGCCCCAACAGCCUGGCAGGGCAGCGGGCGGCAGGCUCGCCGGGAGCGUGGAAUAGAAGAGAAUCCUUGGACUGAUGGGACUUCUUCCUUCUGCCAUUGUUGUCCGAUUGGAGAUUCUGACUAGAUGGGUGAUGCCAGCGUCUGUGGGGAGGAAUGGAGAACCUGCACAUAUGCUGAAUGUCAGCUUGAAGGCAAGUAGGACAGAAAACAGCAAGCUUUAUCCUGUGCCAUAGCAGGCGCUGACAAGGUUAAUGCAGUUAAGUUACGUACGGUUAUACACAAUUAGUGAUAUUACAUCACAUCUUUAGAUACAGAGCAACAGGGGGAAGAUCUCUUCCUCUGUGUUACAAUCCAGUAGAAUCUGUGUAACACUUAACAAUUUCUUUUAUAAGCAAAAGAAUUGGGGAAGUAGUUACAGUAUUCCCACUAGCCUUAAUUCAAGAUGGAAAUAAAGAGAAUUAUCAUCACCUACUCUGUCAGGUCACUGCAGAAGGCUCUUUGGCACUCCAGCGAGAGCAGUUCGGUUGCCAGGAGACGAUAAGUUAAUUUUGGAAGGUAAUGCCCUCUGAGCAAGUAAUGCCAUCGUUCUAGAUCAGAGCAGAAUCUAAUGCUCUGUAGUCACAAGCUUGCCUUCUAAAAGGAUUUGCCCCUCUAUCGUACUGGGAAUAAGCAAAGUGUGCUGCUGAAUUGUCUAUUGCUAGCAAAAUAAAAUCCUGAACAGUAAAAUCUUAGGGCAUUGUUAAAUACUCAGCAUAAAAUUAAUGCUCCAGCAGGCUCAUUGAGGUUAGGCCAUCUGUUAACUAUGCAGGUACAUACGUCAAAAGACAGAUUGCCAAAACUACGUCCCAUGACCUUAAAAUAAGAGGGAGACCAACAAAAUGUUACAAGGACAAAUUCAAGGCAAGUCUUCAACUAUGUGUGUAGCAUUAAUUUCACAAUAUGGGACGUGGUAGCUAAAAGCUUUUGAGACACUAAAUAUUUACUGGUGCUGUAAAAUGACAGGCACAUGGACUGCAGUGGUCAGCACAUGGUCAGCUCCGAUAUUGAAUGUUUUUGACUUACGUUUAAAAAUUGCAUAGAAAACCUUUUGUAGGAUAUAUGUACUUCUUGGUUUGUCUGUAGACAAAUUUUGUACCUUCUUACAUGUUUUUUAGCAUGAGUGGGAAAAUUACAGGAUUUUAUGAUAGUACUGAAAAGGAACAAAGUUGUUUGCCUGUGUGCAUGUAUUUAUUUUCCUUAAUUACCUCUUAUUACAUUCUGGACUAUGGUAUGCAAAGUGGUAAUAGAGGAAGGGAGAUCUAGAGAAGAUGUAAGUGAUCACUUUUUUAUAAGUACAGUGCUUUUCAUCUGAAAGUUCACUGUAGACAGGAAGUGCUCUUAUGCAGAUUUUACAGAUGGUGAAACUGAGGCACAGACCAAUUGCCAUGAGUUGCCAAGUUACCUAUCUCACAAGUGGCCUACUAAUACAGCUCCCCUCCAGAGUAUCAAUCCAGUGUUUCUACUGGCAUUUUCUCCAGAUGCUGGUGCAUAUAUCAAAUCCAAGAUGUGGAAGGAUUUCUGAAGUAAAAAGCCUCACCACUUUCAUGAGAUGUAGAGAAGGGGAAGGAUGAGGUUCAGUCCUUCCUUGCUCUGCUCUGUUGAGCUAUGCAACGUAGGAGAAGGAGACAGAAGAAGGAAAAGAAGGAAAGAAAAUAAGGAUAAUGGGAGAAAGGAGUGGCAGGAAAACAAAAAAGGCAAAACAAAGAUAAAUAGAAACAGGAGAAUGGUUUUAAAAGGUAAAGAGGAAGAGACUAUGAAUUUGGGGUUAGUGGAACAAGCAAAAAUUAUCUUUUGAAAUGGAACUGUAAGUCCAAAAACAUUCCUUUCCUUGAUUACCUGCAAGCAUUGCAGGAGAACAGAGACUAACUUCCUCCUCCUGCUUAUCUGCACUCCAUUUUUUUCCAUUUUAUGUAUUGAUGCUCUUAGCAAAAGACAAUACCUUGUAUUUUAGCCUUACUUUUAGGUUACCCCAUUUUCUUAAAGUUUGCUAAAAGCCUAAGGCAACAAAAUCGAAACCAUAGUCUGCUUUUCAUGUCAUUCCUGCUUUUCUACAAUGUGACAAAGCUGCAUAUUUAAAAAUACCUCUCAGAAUACAUCUCUUCAAAGCUACUUCACCCAACUUUGUUAGUCUGCCCUGAUACAAUUUUUGUUCAAAAUAAAAUGGUUUGGGAUUUUAUUGACAGUCUAUAAUUUCAUAUAAUUUCAUACUGUCUUUUCAGUCUGAAAAGUGGGACAGAAAUGGAUCUAUUGUUACUUGUAAAUCAAAACAUUAUCAGCUGUGACAAGUUCAUAAAGCAGUAGAAAAGCCUGAAAUAAAAUUCCAUAAGACUGAAAAUCAUCUUAUCUAUCUAUUUAUCUCUUUAUUUAUUUGUUUAAAUUCCAGCUAUUGCUAUGCUGUCCCAAUGGGAAAUCAUGUAGAGUUUCUAGGAAAAAACAAACAAACAAAAAAACCACAAACUCACACAGAAAAAAGUAGAAUCGAUAAGCCAAUUCGAGGUCACUGGAAUAAAU